CACCGGGCGUUGCUUGGAUGCGUGUGUCUCGGCACGGCUGCUCGCUAGCUUUCAUGGCCGGCAUCAUGCUGCCGAAUAUUGUUAAUUAUGACAGAAAAGAGCAAAAGUAGAGUCCCUAUGGGAGCUUUGCGUUCUAGUUUGAACAUUUAUCUAGCGGAAACGACUAUUGAGAGGUCUCGAAUCUGCAUUGUCGAGACACAAAUAGGACAAUGCGGAACCCUUGCAGUUCCGUGUACGUAUACAGUGGUGUGGAGCUGGGAGGAUAAGUUUUCGGCUGAAACGACUGCAAACGGCUGCCUUGAAGAAUAGAUCCAGAUGAAAUUGGAGAAUCCGAUUGAGAAGUUUGUUGAAGGUCUGAAGAUUGAUCUGAGGAAAUAAACUGAGGUUCGUUGUGAUCAGCAACCAGAAAAGCAGAUCUUGAAAUAACUGGAAAGGCACCUCGAUAAGGUGGCUCAAGAGGACGUCUAACAGCAUCUUCCCUAACAAAAACAAAAAUCUGUGGAGGAAAAGCAUCCAAAUCAUUGUGAAGAAAUUCUCCAGGAAUUCUUAAAGUUGUUCCAUAAACUAAUUCUGCAGGCGAUGCUUUCAAAUCUUCUUUCAAAGCUGUUCGUAAUCCAAGAAGAACUGUUGGAAGUACAUCGAUCCAAUUCUUAUUUCCAUGACACAUUAAAGCUGUUUUUAAAGAACGAUGCCAACGUUCCAGGAUUCCAUUAGUUUGUGGGUGGAGUUCCAAAGCAACAAAUCCAAUUUCGAUAGAAUUCAGUGGCAACAGAAUCCGCAGUUGCUUCCUUUAAGGGAAUUGCUUCUGGCCAACGUGAAUAUCUAUCAAUCAUUGUUAAAAUAUAGCGAAAACCCUCAGAUGGAGGAAGUGGACCAACUAAAUCCAAAUGAAUGUGAUGAAAUCUUUCAUCUGGAAUUGGAAAGAUUGUUGGCUUAUGUUUUGUGUGCUUAUUAACUUUAGAAAGUUGACAAGUUGCUUUAACGCCUGGAUGAGACAAAUUAUGUACAAGAUUAAAAAUCUUUGAACAUAAAGAAGCAGGAACAUAUGGCCUAACAACACCAGUGGAAAUAUCGCAAAAAAUUAAAUUGUGAGAAUCAUCAAUAUGAAAUUGUUGAAGUUGAAGUGAAGAAGAUGUUGCAACUCUUGAUCCUUCUGUUGUUCUUCUGCUAAUUCCUUGGUAUCCGUAAGAACAGAAACAUGAGCGAUAUCCGUAGAAAAUUGUGCUAUAAAAUCCAAAUGACGCUGUUGACGAGGUGACAUUUUUCGUGCUCGCUUUGUAAAAGCAUAAAUGAGAGGUUUAUGAUCAGUAAAAAUUUUGAAAUUUCGUCCUUCAAGAAAAUGACAAGAAUAGCUUCAAAAAUUGCCAAUAGUUCACGAUCGUAGGCACUAUAUCGUAAUUCUGAACCAUGAAGUUUUCGAGAAAAGAAUUGUAAAGGAUGCCAGUUUUUUCAAAUUGCUCAAGAACUGCACCAACCGCAAUAUCAGAAGCAUCAGUACUUAAUUUCAAAGAAGCGUCAGAACGAGGAUGGACAAGUAAAGUUGCAGUUGCUCAACUGUUUUUGCAUUCUUCAAAAGCAUGUUCAGCAUCUAAAGUCCAUUGAAUUGGAGUCUUAUCUCCUUUUUUACUUUUAAUAAGAUAUAUGAACAAAGAGGUGCUUGAAUAAAAGCUGCAUUUUUAAUGAA